rnacentral:rRNA from 1 species
GGUCUCUGGGCCGUUACUGACGCUGAGGAGCGAAAGCGUGGGGAGCGAACAGGAUUAGAUACCCUGGUAGUCCACGCCGUAAACGGUGGAUGCUGGAUGUGGGGCCCGUUCCACGGGUUCCGUGUCGGAGCUAACGCGUUAAGCAUCCCGCCUGGGGAGUACGGCCGCAAGGCUAAAACUCAAAGAAAUUGACGGGGGCCCGCACAAGCGGCGGAGCAUGCGGAUUAAUUCGAUGCAACGCGAAGAACCUUACCAAGGCUUGACAUGUGAGCGUCUGCCUCAGAGAUGGGGUUUCCUCCUUGUGGGGCGCUUUCACAGGUGGUGCAUGGUUGUCGUCAGCUCGUGUCGUGAGAUGUUGGGUUAAGUCCCGCAACGAGCGCAACCCUCGCCCCGUGUUGCCAGCACGUUAUGGUGGGAACUCACGGGGGACCGCCGGGGUUAACUCGGAGGAAGGUGGGGAUGACGUCAGAUCAUCAUGCCCCUUACGUCCAGGGCUUCACGCAUGCUACAAUGGCCGGUACAACGGGAUGCGACAGCGCGAGCUGGAGCGGAUCCCUGAAAACCGGUCUCAGUUCGGAUCGCAGUCUGCAACUCGACUGCGUGAAGGCGGAGUCGCUAGUAAUCGCGAAUCAGCAACGUCGCGGUGAAUGCGUUCCCGGGCCUUGUACACACCGCCCGUCAAGUCAUGAAAGUGGGCAGCACCCGAAGCCGGUGGCCUAACCCCUUGUGGGAUGGAGCCGUCUAAGGUGAGGCUCGUGAUUGGGACUAAGUCGUAACAAGGUAGCCGUACCGGAAGGUGCGGCUG